rnacentral:lncRNA from 1 species
CUGGCAGGGCUUUGCGCCAAAGCUUUGUGGCCGGGUGCUCCGACGGCCUUCACGAGAGCGUCGUUGCAGGGCCGCACCCAUGCUGCGCUUUCCGACCUGUUUCCCAUCCUUUCGGGUGGUGGGAGAGAAGCAACUGCCGCAAGAGAUUAUUUUCUUGGCCUGGUCACCCAAGCGAGACCUCAUUGCUUUGGCCAACACUACAGGCGAGUUUUGGCCUUUGCUCUUGCGGAUACCAAAAAAAUUAUUUUGUGUGAUGUAGAAAAGCCUGAAAGCUUACACUCUUUCUCUGUGGAGGCUCCGGUGUCUUGUAUGCAUUGGAUGGAAGUGACGGUUGAAAGCAGUGUCUUAACAUCAUUUUAUAACGCUGAGGAUGAGUCCAAUCUUCUUUUGCCUAAGCUGCCCACAUUGCCAAAAAAUUACAACAGCACCUCAAAAAUAUUUAGUGAAGAAAAUUCUGAUGAAAUUAUUAAGCUCUUGGGAGAUGUCAGGCUGAACAUCCUUGUCCUUGGAGGAAGUUCUGGAUUUAUUGAGCUUUAUGCUUAUGGGAUGUUCAAAAUUGCUCGAGUAACAGGGAUUGCCGGUACUUGUAUUGCUCUGUGUUUAUCAAGUGAUUUGAAGUCGUUAUCAGUGGUCACAGAGGUCUCCAGUGGUGGUGAAUCAGAAGUUUCCUAUUUUCAGGAAAUCUUUCCAGGUGUCUUCACUUCCGUAUGUCUGAAUUGGAAGGAGGAGGACCAGAAGAAUGUGUGGUGUGGUAUUUGCACAGUCUAUUCAGAACAUCAAAGAGCCUGGGACAGUGGCUGUUGGCAUUUGCUCUUUUUUUGUGAGACUGAGAAACUGUUGAUUAACAAGUUUGCAUCUGAGUCUAGUAAAGUGACUUUUUUUUCUGAGAA